UGGUAAAGUCCGCCCCGGGACUUACGCAAUCACUCGCUAAGUCCAACGGAAACCAUACGUGCCAAGUCGGAAGAGAUAUGGUAAAGUCCGUCCUGGGACAUACGCAAUCAUAAGCUAAGUCCAACGGAAACCAUACGUGCCAAGUCAGAAGACAUAUGGUAAAGUCCGUCCUGGGACAUACGCAAUCAUCCGCUAUGUCAAACGGAAACCAUACGUGCCAAGUCACAAGAGAUAUGGUUAAGUCCGUCCUGGGACAUACGCAAUCACCGGCUAAGUCCAACGGAAACCAUUCGUGCCAAGUCACGAAGAGAUAUGGCC
rnacentral:lncRNA from 1 species